rnacentral:lncRNA from 1 species
CUCAAUUUUUUUUACAUUUGUAAUUUACUCUCAAUAGACAAAUUUUAAACAACGUUCCAGUAAUGUCGGAUGCAGAAUGUGUGAAUGUUAGCUUAAUACAAAGGAUAGACCAUUUUAUCUUUUUUAAACUACAAUAUGAGCUAUCUAUACUUUUACUUUGACUUUAAUUUGAGAGUCGGAAGAAAUGUGAUAAGGAUUAAAUAUGGUACCAGUUGAUUAUUUCGCGUAUUACUAAAAGAUUGGUUAACAAAUGGGGGAGAUUGGAAAGUUAAUUUUAACCGUAACGAUGACGACAUGGGAUGUAUGCACCGGUGUCCUUUCUGAAUUUAGUUUGCAUUCCACAGAUGUAAACGUUGGAACGUUACAUUCUACAGCUAAUUCAGAUUGGCCAACAAUUGUGAGAGAUUGGAACUGAUAUCUUUGCUUACUAAAAAGAUAAGUCGUCUCCUAUGGUGUUUUAGCUGUUAACCUUUCAUCUUGUAGUUAAUUAAGGAACAUUAGAAGAACUCCGGAUACCUUUAAAUUAUGAAAUUAUGGAGCAUUGGUUGAAUUAGUUCUCAUUUGCCCUGCAAAGUAGCUGUGCCCAUGGUUCUAAAGAAAGCAUGAAAGUGCCUUGUUUUCAUUGGGAGUGAAGACAGUGUGCUGAAAAAGGAUUUAUGACAAUGAACUGAUUGUUAUCCCACAAAUGAGAAGGAAUUGCAGUUAAUUUUUGCCAUAACAAUGGGAGGCAAUUGGAAAUUAAUUAAUUUGGACGCAACCGGAACAACAAAUUAUCUGCAGUAGUAUCCCUCCUAGAUUUGGUUAAUUUGCUCAUCACACUGGUAGACUUUAGAACGCCACUCUACAAUUAAUUAAGGUUAUGCAAUAAAUGAGAAAGAGUUAAUGUUCAGUAUGGUUAUACUGAAACAGCCCAUGUCUACAUGGGUGUGGUCUUUCCUGGAUUAUAUUCUUGAUUUGCUGUUUCG